rnacentral:tRNA from 1 species
GGGGCUGUAGCUCAGCUGGUUAGAGCAGCGGACUCAUAAUCCGUUUGUCGUGGGUUCAAGCCCCACCAGCCCUACAA